UUUUUUCUCUAAGCUUCAUGAUCCACAUGAUUUCACUUUCCCUCCUAUUAAUGAAGUCUCUCCACCAAAGCACCCUCUUCCUCCGGCCGUGCCAGUAUAUGAGAAAGCUCCUCCAGUAAAGAAGCCAUUCCCACCUCCUUCUCCCAUUUCCAAGCCCCUUCCACCACCUCCUCGUCCUAUUAAACCACCAGUUUUUAAACCAUUUGUUCAUCCUUUCCAUAAGCUGCAUCCAUUUCCACCACUUCCUAAGAUCCCUGGAAAGCAUUUCCAUCAACUACCAUCCUUUUCUCCUCAUGCAUAGGUAUUAUUAUUAUCAUGGCACAACUACAAAUGUAGCACUUUGUGUAACAAUGUUACGGCCAUGUUUUCUUUUCUUCUAAAUAAAAGCCUUUAUUUGAAUAGUGAACGUAUUUGAAUGAGCUUGAAUAAAGUAUGUACUAUGGACUAAUGCUUAUGAGUAGUGAAGAUGACGGAG
rnacentral:lncRNA from 1 species